GACGAACGCUGGCGGCGUGCUUAACACAUGCAAGUCGAGCGGUAAGGCCCUUUCGGGGGUACACGAGCGGCGAACGGGUGAGUAACACGUGGGUGACCUGCCCUCAGCUCUGGGAUAAGCCUGGGAAACUGGGUCUAAUACUGGAUAUGACUCCACGGUGCAUGUCGUGGGGUGGAAAGCCUUGUGCGGCUGAGGAUGGGCCCGCGGCCUAUCAGCUUGUUGGUGGGGUGANGGCCUACCAAGGCGACGAUGGGUAGCCGGCCUGAGAGGGCGACCGGCCACACUGGGACUGAGACACGGCCCAGACUCCUACGGGAGGCAGCAGUGGGGAAUCUUGCGCAAUGGGCGAAAGCCUGACGCAGCGACGCCGCGUGAGGGAUGACGGCCU
rnacentral:rRNA from 1 species